GAUGAACGCUGGCAGUAUGCUUAACACAUGCAAGUCUUUGGCGAACCUGUUCUCACACUGCCUAGCCUAAUCGGACGGGUGAGUAACGCGUAUGAAACUUGCCCUACAUUCCGGGCUAACAGACAUAAACGACUGAUAAGACCUGGUAAAGUCCGUCGACCUCAUCUCCAGCCUGAUGAAAAGAGAUGCUGCAAGAGAGCCUUGCGUCCUAUUACCUUGUUUGUGGGGUAAGGUGCCAACAAGGCUAUCAUAGGUAGCCGGCCUGAGAGGGUCGACGGCAACAAGGGGACUGCGACACGGGGCAGAAUCCUACGGGAGGCAGCAGUGGGGAAUAGUGGAAAAUAGGGGAAACGCUGAAACAGCAACUCUGUGAGGAAGAUGAAGCUUUUCGGAUAGUAAAGUGAUUUCAGCAGGGAAGAAAAAAAUGAAGGUACCUGAAGAAGAAGCGACGGCUAAAUACGUG
rnacentral:rRNA from 1 species